rnacentral:rRNA from 1 species
UACGAACGCUGGCGGCAGGCUUAACACAUGCAAGUCGAGCGCCCCGCAAGGGGAGCGGCAGACGGGUGAGUAACGCGUGGGAAUCUACCCAUCUCUACGGAAUAACGCAUGGAAACGUGUGCUAAUACCGUAUACGUCCUUCGGGAGAAAGAUUUAUCGGAGAUGGUUGAGCCCGCGUUGGAUUAGCUAGUUGGUGGGGUAAAGGCCUACCAAGGCGACGAUCCAUAGCUGGUCUGAGAGGAUGAUCAGCCACACUGGGACUGAGACACGGCCCAGACUCCUACGGGAGGCAGCAGUGGGGAAAAUUGGACAAUGGGCGCAAGCCUGAUCCAGCCAUGCCGCGUGAGUGAUGAAGGCCCUAGGGUUGUAAAGCUCCUUCACCGGUGAAGAUAAUGACGGUAACCGGAGAAGAAGCCCCGGCUAACUUCGUGCCAGCAGCCGCCGUAACAC